rnacentral:rRNA from 1 species
UACGUAGGGGGCAAGCGUUGUUCGGAAUUACUGGGCGUAAAGGGCGCGUAGGCGGCAUGGCAAGUCAGGAGUGAAAGGCCUGGGCUCAACCGAGGAACUGCUUUUGAUACUGCCAAGCUAGAGUGCGGAAGGGGCAACUGGAAUUCCCAGUGUAGCGGUGAAAUGCGUAGAUAUCAGGAGGAACACCUAUUGCGAAGGCAGCUCGCUGGGACGUUACUGACGCUGAGACGCGAAAGCGUGGGGAGCAAACAGG